UGGGCAACCUGCCCCUCUCUCUGGGAUAACCCCGGGAAACCGGAGCUAAUACCGGAUACUCCGGCUGGAUCGCAUGGUCCGGCCGGGAAAGGUCCGCCGGAGAGGGAUGGGCCCGCGGCCUAUCAGCUUGUUGGUGGGUCAUGGCUCACCAAGGCGACGACGGGUANCUGGUCUGAGAGGACGACCAGCCACACUGGGACUGAGACACGGCCCAGACCUCCGUACGGGAGGCA
rnacentral:rRNA from 1 species